rnacentral:tRNA from 1 species
GCUGGGAUACUCAAGCGGCCAACGAGGGCUGACUGUAAAUCAGCUGGCAUUUGCCUACGGGGGUUCGAAUCCCUCUCCCAGCA